AUGGGUACCUCAAGAAAAGCUACAAGUAGUGGGUCUGGUUAGAACUGUAGAAACAAAAUACAAAGGGCAAAGCCUAACCCCUUAACGGAAUUUUGAACAAAUGGGUUUUGCCGCCAUCGCAUCCGCACCCACCACCAUUCAACUCCCUCCACACUCCAACACCAGAGCAGUGCCGCCACCGUCACACCUAACCCAACAUCAAAAUCAAGCCCAACGUGUUAAUCCCAUCUCGAAACCUAAUUUCCCCCUUAAACAGCAAUCCAGUAAGCAGAUUGACCCAGUGGUUGCAUGGACCGACUCCAUUUCCCGCCACUGCCGUAAUGGCCAGCUGCCCGAAGCCGCCUCACAAUUCACCCAAAUGCUUCUCUCUGGCGUUGAACCUAAUCACAUCACAUUCACGACUCUUCUGUCUGGCUGUGCGGAUUUUCCCUCAGAAGGCAAAUCUUUUGGCCCUUUGAUUCACUCAUAUGCACGGAAACUGGGCUUUGAUACGUGUAAUGUGAUGGUGGGUACUGCUCUUGUGGACAUGUAUGCUAAGUGUGGUCAGGUAGAACUAGCAAGAUUCUGCUUUUAUGAGCUAAAGAUCAAGAAUUCAGUGUCUUGGAACACAAUGAUGGAUGGGUACAUGAGGAAUGGGGAGAUAGCAGAUGCGAUUGAGUUGUUCGAUGAAAUGCCUGAGAGGGAUGCGAUUUCUUGGACCGUGUUCAUUGAUGGAUUUGUUAAGAGGGGUCAUUUUGAGCAAGGAUUGGAAUGGUUUAGAGAAAUGCAGGUUUCUAUGGUGCAGCCUGACUAUGUAACCAUUAUUGCAGUUCUCUCUGCCUGCGCAAAUUUGGGUGCCCUUGGUUUAGGCAUGUGGAUACAUCGAUAUGUGUUGAAGCAAGAGUUUAGGGACAAUAUUAGGAUAAGCAAUUCAUUGAUUGUUAUGUAUUCUCGAUGUGGAUGCAUUGAAUUAGCACGUCAAGUGUUUCACAAAAUGUUGAAGAGAACAUUGGUUUCAUGGAACUCCAUUAUUGUGGGCCUUGCUGCCAAUGGGUUGGCAGAGGAAGCAUUAGAGUACUUUGUGUUGAUGCAGAAAGAAGAAUUCAAACCAGACGGAGUCAGUUUCACUGGAGCACUUACUGCUUGUAGCCAUGCUGGUUUGGUGGAUAAAGGGCUCAAAUAUUUUGAUGUCAUGGAGAAAGUUUACAAACUAUCUCCUACAAUUGAACACUAUGGAUGCAUAGUAGAUCUUUACAGCCGUGCUGGGAAGUUAGAAGAUGCUUGGAGUGUAAUAGAAAAUAUGGCCAUGAAGCCAAAUGAAGUUAUCCUGGGAUCAUUGUUGGCUGCUUGUAGAACUGGUGGAGAUGUUGAUUUAGCUGAAAGGUUAAUGAAGUAUCUUACUGAUUUGGAUCCCGGUAUUGACUCCAAUUUCGUGCUGCUUGCAAAUAUAUAUGCAGCGGUUGGAAGAUGGGAUGGGGCAGGCAAGGUCAGGAGGAAAAUGAAGGCACUUGGUAUACAAAAGAAGCCGGGGAUUAGUUCAAUUGAGAUUGGAUGUGGCAUUCAUGAAUUUGUGGCUGGUGAUAAAUCUCACAUCGAAACUGAGCAUAUUUAUGAAAUGCUACAGCUUUUAAACCAUGAUCUGAAAUUACGUGGCUAUGUUCCUGAAACCAUGGUAACUGAUGUGUAUGGAAAUGAUUGAAAUACUGUCAAUGUCUCACUGAGCUAGGAAGAAAAUUCUAUUAAUAUUUGUUCUGUUAAUAGGGAAUAUAUUAAUAUUUAUGGGUUCACCUGAG
rnacentral:misc_RNA from 1 species